UACGGGGGGGGCAAGCGUUGUUCGGAAUUACUGGGCGUAAAGGGUUCGUAGGUGGCUUGUUAAGUCAGACGUGAAAUCCCUCGGCUCAACCGGGGAACUGCGUCUGAGACUGAUGAGCUCGAGUGCAGGAGAGGAACGCGGAAUUCCAGGUGUAGCGGUGAAGUGCGUAGAUAUCUGGAGGAACACCGGUGGCGAAGGCGGCGUUCUGGACUGCAACUGACACUGAGGAACGAAAGCCAGGGGAGCAAACGGG
rnacentral:rRNA from 1 species